rnacentral:rRNA from 1 species
AAGCAUAUCAAUAAGCGGAGGAAGAGAAACUAACGAGGAUUCCCCUAGUAACGGCGAGCGAACCGGGAAUAGCCCAGCAUGGAAAUCUUCCAAAAGUGAUGUUUUUUUGGAAGAGUUGUAGUUUUCGUGCCCGCACCUUGCCGCACAUUUCGUGGUCUGCCAAGUUUCCUGGAACGGGACGUCGUAGAGGGUGAGAGCCCCGUGGCGGACUGUGCAUUGUGCGGCUGUACCGGUGCGUUUCGGCGCCAGAGUCGGGUUGUUUGGGAAUGCAGCCCCAAGUCGGUGGUAAAUCCCAUCGAAGGCUAAAUACGUGCGGGAGACCGAUAGCGAACAAGUACCGUGAGGGAAAGAUGAAAAGAACUUUGAAAAGAGAGUCAAAAAGUGCUUGAAAUUGUUGAGAGGGAAGCGAUGGACAAUGUUCGGUUUUGGGUUUGGGUCUGGGUUGGGUUGGUGCUCGUUCGAUUACGAGAGCACCGAUUCGUUACCCCUGGCCCCCUGGUCAGCAUCGGUUUCUUUGUGGGAGGCAGAAAUGCGGGGAUUUGCGUUGUCGGCGUUUUGGGUGUUUCUCGGAAUGCCCGCGUCCGGCAGGCCCCGCGCAUGCCCCCCCGGAGACCGAGGAAGAGGAGUCCCUUCUCUGUGAUGCUGGCCGAAGCCGGUCCAUCGGCCCGUCUUGAAACACGGACC